GACGAACGCUGGCGGCGUGCUUAACACAUGCAAGUCGACCGAUGAAGCCCUUCGGGGUGGAUUAGUGGCGAACGGGUGAGUAACACGUGGGCAAUCUGCCCUUCACUCUGGGACAAGCCCUGGAAACGGGGUCUAAUACCGGAUAACACCUGCCCGGGCAUCCGGGUGGGUUAAAAGCUCCGGCGGUGAAGGAUGAGCCCGCGGCCUAUCAGCUUGUUGGUGAGGUAGUGGCUCACCAAGGCGACGACGGGUAGCCGGCCUGAGAGGGCGACCGGCCACACUGGGACUGAGACACGGCCCAGACUCCUACGGGAGGCAGCAGUGGGGAAUAUUGCACAAUGGGCGAAAGCCUGAUGCAGCGACGCCGCGUGAGGGAUGACGGCCUUCGGGUUGUAAACCUCUUUCAGCAGGGAAGAAGCGAAAGUGACGGUACCUGCAGAAGAAGCGCCGGCUAACUACGUGC
rnacentral:rRNA from 1 species